AACACAGCAAAUAUUUGCCCUGGUCUCUCAUGUUCUCAAUGCUCACUUUUUCUUCAUGGUCAAGACAUCCUCAUUACUUUACCUACAUGGGAUUAAGAUCAAGCAUGAGAUACUCCUGUUAAUGUACGGAGAUUUAAUCCCACUGAUCACCUUCUUCCACCUACCAGGUGUCAUUUAUUUCUACAUUAAAACUGUUAAGCCAAAUCAGCUUCACAUCAGGAGAUAUUCAGGACUCCCAAGAUUGAGUUCAUGCAGUUACCCACUUAAACAGUCUGUUCAAAACGAAGAGACAUCUUGCAGAGAGAUCUUGACAAACUAGAAAGCUGGACCACAUGAAGUUUAACAAGAGCACCUGAAACAGAAUCUCCAACACCUAUUA
rnacentral:lncRNA from 1 species